UCCAUUUCGGUGGGGAUUAGUGGCGAACGGGUGAGUAACACGUGGGCAAUCUGCCCUGCACUCUGGGACAAGCCCUGGAACCGGGGUCUAAUACCCAUGACAACCGCUGACCGCAUGGUCGGGCGGUGGAAAGCUCCGGCGGUGCAGGAUGAGCCCGCGGCCUAUCAGCUUGUUGGUGAGGUAAUGGCUCACCAAGGCGACGACGGGUAGCCGGCCUGAGAGGGCGACCGGCCACACUGGGACUGAGUUACGGCCCAGACUCCUACGGGAGGCAGCAGUGGGGAAUAUUGCACAUGUGGGCGCAAGCCUGAUGCAGCGACGCCGCGUGAGGGAUGACGGCCUUCGGGUUUAAACCUCUUUCAGCAGGGAAGAAGCGCAUAUGACGGUUCCUGCAGAAGAAGCGCCUACUAUCUACGUGCCAGCAGCCGCGGUAAUACGUAGGGCGCAAGCGUUGUCCGGACAGAUUGGGCGUAAAGAGCUCGUAGGCGGCUUGUCGCGUCGGAUGUGAAAGCCCGGAUCUUAACCCCGGGUCUGCAUUCGAUACGGGCAGGCUAGAGUUCGGUAGGAGAGAUCGGAAUUCCUGGUGUAGCGGUGCGGAGCGCAGAUAUCAGGAGGAACACCGGUGGCGAAGGCGGAUCUCUGGGACGAUACUGACGCUGAGGAGCGAUAGCGUGGGGAGGCAACAGGUAGAGAUACCCUGGUAGUCCACGCCGUCAACGUUGGGCACUAGGUGUGGGCAACAUUCCACGUUGUCCGUGCCGCAGCUAACGCAUUAAGUGCCCCGCCUGGGGAGUACGGCCGCAAGGCUAAAACUCAAAGGAAUUGACGGGGGCCCGCACAAGCGGCGGAGCAUGUGGCUUAAUUCGACGCAACGCGAAUACUCUUACCAAGGCUUGACAUACACCGGAACCGUCUAGGAGAC
rnacentral:rRNA from 1 species